rnacentral:lncRNA from 1 species
GGUUAGGACUUCAAGAUACGAAUUUUAGAGGGGCACAAGUCAGCCCUUAACAGUCAUCAAAAACUAGUUAAGCCUGAGAAACUGUCACAGCCAAGAAUAUACAGCCUAAGAAUAUACAACAACUAAAUGUAAUGUGAUAUCCUAGCUGGCAUCCUGGAACAGAAAAAGGACUUUAGUGCGCACGCGCAGUGUUUAACGGCCGGUCAGGAACCCAACAAUUAGUGCCUUCUCGUCCGAGAGGAAACUCUGUGAGAAGAUGGGGCCGUGAGCACUCUCUUUAACAAGGACAUUUCCUUUUCAGCGAAAGCACCGCUCUGAUUUACCAAGUCUGGCGGACCGCACCGCUUUAAAGGAAUGAGGUUCCAGCGGUCGCGCCAAGCAGCUCGGGAACACCCUUGUCGCCGCCGUUCCGGUAACACCUCUCCAACGCUUUCGAUGCUUCUACUUCUUCGGGAACAAGACAAGAUGGCGCCCGAUUUGUCUCACCCGGAAGUAAAGAAUAAUAACAUCCGUUUGUCAUCUGAAGCCAUACCAUCUCUCAUCCAGGUUUGUGAACACGUGAUUGUGCGGAUUGACAUGUUUCGGCGCCAUUUUUUUUGUGGGCAAAACCAUCUCUACUCUGGUCAACACCAGGCAACUGAACCAUUCCUGCACGUUACUUUUUAAUGUAGAUGGCGCCAUUCCCGACCCAUCUUUAUAGUGGCCAGAAAGCCAAGAACAACACUCCCGCCUUGGAGAAGGGGUGGAGUUCGCAACUCCACUUACAGACUACGGAGGAACCCCAGGGUCAAACCAAACCAAACCAAUUCUGGCCAGUUGCUUAGCGCAGUUCAAGUUACUUAGUGCGCUGGAAGCGGCAUUUCAGGCAAUCCAACUUCUGGCUCGAACCUUCUCGGAGUAUUCCAAGGAUGGAAUACUGUCACUUGAGCGCUGCCGAGGGUGCCGCUUGAGGAAAACGUGAGUUUGUGAAGCAGGGUCUCACUCCGUCACUCUGCAGGAAUGCAGUGGUGUGAUCAUGGCUCACUGCACCUUGACCUCCUGGGCUCAAGCAUCUUCCCCACUCAGCCUCCCAACAGCAUGAGCCACCAUGCCUGGCUAACAAAUUGAUACCAACUAUCACUCUUCUCAGCUACCUAAAAAGGUGGUCUUCACAAGUUUUAAGAACAUUAAAUGACAAUAUUGGCACAUAAUCAAUAUUUUAUCAUUUUAUAUUUGGAAAAAAACGGGAAGCUGGGGUAAACCAGUUUCUAAAUAAAGCUAAUGAAACUUUAAUUCAUUCAAACACUAUGGUAGUUAUGUUGAUGAUAAGUAAACAUUAUUAUUUAUUUAUACUGUUUCCUGAGGUGAUCCAGAAACUACUGUUAUUAUAGUAGACUCGCUACUCAAAAACAAAAAUUUUAAUGUAGACCCAUGUGUAAUUUAACAUGCUUUCUCUGUUACAAAAGCUAUCUUUAGGAAAUUCUUAAGUAUCAAAAAUCCAAUUUAUUCCAUUUUCAGAAGACAAGGAAAAAGCACUCAAACUCUAGGCCAUAAAAAAAUAGAUUUCAUAAGUAGCUCCUUUAACAUGAAGAAAAUGACAAUAAAAAUAUCUUACUUGCAUGUUACUUCUGGAAUAAUGUCAAAAAUCUAUGUAGAUCUUUCCAUUUUAAAUGAUGUUAAAAUAGUGUCAGCACUGUGACUGACUCAUAGCAAGUAUGGGUAUCUAUCCAAAUAUUUGUCUUUGAAACAAGAAACAAGUGACCAUCCGAUGAAAAGUGCAUGCCUCUUAACAGUAUAUUUCUGUAAGAAAAAUUAGGUGAUCUAUAUUUACAUUUGGGCAGUGGGGGGAUGAAAACUGCUCUUACCAAGAUGGCUGACUUGAAUAAAGACAGUCAAUAUUUUUCAAAAAAUUCACUGCUCUGGUACUGAGAUCUCCAUGAUAACAGAUUACAGUUAAACAGAAAAUGCUGUGAAAUACCUUUUACAGAACACAGCCUGACUUUGCAGAUUAACUUAAAGAUAUAUUUCUUGAUUAUUUCACUGUUGAAAAUCAAGAAAAACACUACUAACAUUUCAACAUCUUAAAAAUAGAAUUUAUGCAAUGACAUUUUUAAGCUCUGCAUUUUGUAUACUAUUACCGUCUUUAAUUACAGUUAUGUUCAUCCAUAUAUCAAAAGGCAGCACUGGUAACCUUGAUAACAUUAUAUAUGCUUAUGUGUUUAAGACAGUCUUGAUUAAAUAUUUCCAUAUAUUAUCUGCAGCCACUAUUCUUAUCCUUUCUUCCCGGGAGGAGAAUGAAGUGGGACUAGGCAUUUACCCGGCACUUGCCUGCACUAUCAUUCAUUGGCGCUAAUGAUUAGGAUGCUUGAACCAUGCAGUUUUGUUUCUAUUUCAACAAUAUGACACUGAAGUAGCCAUUAUCUUUUGAUAUUUAAGCCUAAGUAAUAGUAUAUUCUUCAUGCCAAGUUUUGACAGCUCAAUAAUUUGUAUUCUAGAGGGGAAAAAUGAUAUUUUUGCUAUUAUUUAAUUAUUUAAAAAGAAAAUCAAAAAUGCCAGCUUAAUGCCCCAUUAAAAGCUAAAUUCACCUGAACUUAUUAAUGAUGCUUGCUGAAGACAAAGUGAUUUCAAAACCCCAAAACUGUGUUUAGUAUUUACAAGAAGUAGAAAAAGUAUAUAUUUUUCUGUUAAGAAUAUAAUUCUCUAUCAUUUACAAAUAUAAUUUGGUAAUUUAUAUUUCAAAGCUAUCCUAUGGUCCUAUAUGGAUUAUCAACUUCUAAUUGCCAAUUCUAAAUGUUAUAAUCAUCUAUAUUGGGCCUUGGCCAACCACCUGCAAGUUAUCCUUAACUCCACCAUGAAGAGGGUGCAAGAGAUAUGUUUAUGAAAUGCCUCAAUAUAUUUCUAGUUUUUCAAAAUCUCAAGGUAAUAAGCUAACCAACAGAUUAUUUGUAAACCCACACUACUGAAAUUACAGUGACACCCUUUUAUAUGGUUGAAUUGUAUAAAAUAUGACCAGGGAACUACACCGUAUUAGGUGUUAAUUCAUGAAAUUAUGUGUUAUAGCAGUUUCCUAAAUGGUAGUACACAUAUAUACCACUAGAUGGCCCUGAGAUGAUUUUAAGUUAAGUGGUACGUGGAUAAACAAUUUUUAAUAGUUUUACUUUAAUAUUUA